CCUACGGGUGGCUGCAGUGGGGAAUAUUGCACAAUGGGGGGAACCCUGAUGCAGCAACGCCGCGUGGGUAAAGAAGUAUUUCGGUAUGUAAACUCCUUUUAUCAGGGAAGAAGGAGACGGUAUCUCACCAAGAAGCACCGGCUAACUACGUGCCAGCAGCCGCGGUAAUACGGAGGGGGCAAGCGUUAAUCGGAUUUACUGGGCGUAAAGAGCGCGUAGGCGGGAUUGCAAGUCAGAUGUGAAAUCCUAGGGCUUAACCAGAGGACUGCAUUUGAAACUGUUGGUCUAGAGUACUGGAGGGGUAGGUGGAAUUCCUGGUGUAGGGGUGAAAUGCGUAGAGAUUAAGAGGAACACCCGUGGCGAAGGCGACCUGCUGGACUGUAACUGACGUUGAGGCGCGAAAGCGUGGGGAGCAAACAGGAUUAGAUACCCGAGUAGUC
rnacentral:rRNA from 1 species